rnacentral:rRNA from 1 species
GAUGAACGCUGGCGGCGUGCCUAAUACAUGCAAGUCGAGCGAACAGACGAGGAGCUUGCUCCUCUGACGUUAGCGGCGGACGGGUGAGUAACACGUGGAUAACCUACCUAUAAGACUGGGAUAACUUCGGGAAACCGUAGCUAAUACCGGAUAAUAUAUUGAACCGCAUGGUUCAAUAGUGAAAGACGGUUUUGCUGUCACUUAUAGAUGGAUCCGCGCCGCAUUAGCUAGUUGGUAAGGUAACGGCUUACCAAGGCGACGAUGCGUAGCCGACCUGAGAGGGUGAUCGGCCACACUGGAACUGAGACACGGUCCAGACUCCUACGGGAGGCAGCAGUAGGGAAUCUUCCGCAAUGGGCGAAAGCUUGACGGAGCAACGCCGCGUGAGUGAUGAAGGUCUUCGGAUCGUAAAACUCUGUUAUUAGGGAAGAACAAAUGUGUAAGUAACUAUGCACGUCUUGACGGUACCUAAUCAGAAAGCCACGGCUAACUACGUG